UACGGGGGGGGCAAGCGUUGUUCGGAAUUACUGGGCGUAAAGGGCUCGUAGGCGGCCAACUAAGUCAGACGUGAAAUCCCUCGGCUUAACCGGGGAACUGCAUCUGAUACUGGAUGGCUUGAGAUUGGGAGAGGGAUGCGGAAUUCCAGGUGUAGCGGUGAAAUGCGUAGAGAUGUGGAGGAACACCAGUGGCGAAGGCGGCUUUCUGGUCAGUAACUGACGCUGAGGCGCGAAAGCGUGGGGAGCAAGCAGG
rnacentral:rRNA from 1 species